rnacentral:rRNA from 1 species
AAUUUUGUACAAUGGGGGCAACCCUGAUCCAGCCAUCCCGCGUGUGCGAUGAAGGCCUUCGGGUUGUAAAGCACUUUUGUCAGGGAAGAAAAGGCUCUGGCUAAUACCUGGAGCUGCUGACGGUACCUGCAGAAUAAGCACCGGCCAACUACGUGCCAGCAGCCGCGGUAAUACGUAGGGUGCAAGCGUUAAUCGGAAUUAAUGGGCGUAAAGCGUGUGUAGGCGGUUCGGAAAGAAAGAUGUGAAAUCCCAGGGCUCAACCUUGGAACUGCAUUUUUAACUGCCGAGCUGGAGUAUGUCAGAGGGGGGUAGAAUUCCACGUGUAGCAGUGAAAUGCGUAGAUAUAGGAAGGAACACCAGUGGCGAAGGCGACUACCUGGACUGAUACUGACACUGAGGUGCGAAAGCGUGGGGAGCAAACA